rnacentral:rRNA from 1 species
AUUGAACGCUGGCGGCAGGCCUAACACAUGCAAGUCGAACGAGUGGCGGACGGGUGAGUAAUGUCUGGGAAACUGCCUGCUGGAGGGGGAUAACUACUGGAAACGGUAGCUAAUACCGCAUACCAUCAGAUGUGCCCAGAUGGGAUUAGCUGGUGGGUGGGGUAAUGGCUCACCUAGGCGACGAUCCCUAGCUGGUCUGAGAGGAUGACCGGCAACACUGGAACUGCGACACGGUCCAGAAUCCUACGUGAGGCAGCAGGGGGGAAGAUUGCACAAUGGGCGCAAGCCUGAUGCAGCCAUGCCGCGUGUAUGAAGAAGGCCUUCGGGUUGUAAAGUACUUUCAGCGGGGAGGCGUUACCCGCAGAAGAAGCACCGGCUAACUCCGUGCCAGCCGCCGCGGUAAUAC